ensembl:lncRNA
AGGCACCUCCUCUGUUCUCCAAGACCUGUCAAAGAUGACAGAGAGUGAUUCAGCAGUCACAUCUGCCGUCUCCCCCAGCACGUGUGGAUGCAUCCCGCCGGUGACUUUUUACAGGAGAAAGGUGUGGCACGACACCACAGUUCUUCACAGCUUCAAAGCACUACGUGCACAGUACAGAUACAGAUGUCCUGAGUGUUUCACCUCAUUCACUCAAAUGGCAAUGGGAAGGUUAGGAACAGUAAAAAACAUUAUCUUCUUCCAGAAGGCCUUGAAAAACUGUUGGAAAGGUGACACCUCCUACGGAAGCUUUGCUGGUAAUUCAGAUGUUUGUGAUAUGUGAAUCUUUACCUUAGAAGUCGUGCUUGAUUGGAUUUGCUGCAGUGUUUCAGGUGAAUUCACCGAUUUUACACAUUGGAAUAAUCCCUUAGAAGAAAACCUUCUUUCCAUACGAGGAAUUGGAGAAUGUGUGACUUACUUGUGGCAGC